GCGUGUGAGAAGGCUUUGUUGUAACCUUAGGAGAGACUUCUCGAAUAGCACCGGUAACUUUGCCACGCCCGUACAGGUGCAGCUUAUCGGAUUUACUGGGCGUAGCGUAGGUUUAAGUCGGUGAAAUCCCGACUACUUGAAUGCACUGAACUGAGUAUGAGGAGUAGAAUCCGUGUACGGUAAAUGCGUAAGAUGGAGAAUACCGUGCAAGGACUGCCAUGGGGAGCAAACAGGAUUAGAUACCCUGGUAGUCCAUGCCGUAACGAUGUACUAGCGUUUGCCAUAACGCGAUAAGACGCCUGGGGUCGGUCGCAAGACAAAAAUGAUGACGGGCGCAAGCGGUGGAUGGGUUAUUUCAACAGAACUCGCUGACGUGCGGUGAUGC
rnacentral:rRNA from 1 species